rnacentral:rRNA from 1 species
GACGAACCGUGCGAACGUUGUUCGGAAUCACUGGGCUUAAAGGGCGCGUAGGCGGGCCGCCGCGUCCGGGGUGAAAUCCCCCCGCUCAACGGGGGGACGGCCUCGGAUACGGGCGGCCUGGAGGCGGGUAGGGGCACGCGGAACUGUGGGUGGAGCGGUGAAAUGCGUAGAUAUCGGGAGGAACACCUGUGGCGAAAGCGGCUCACUGGACCACAACUGACGCUGAGGCGCGAAAGCUAGGGGAGCAAACAGG